rnacentral:ncRNA from 8 species
GUAAAAGUCGUAACAAGGUUUCCGU